rnacentral:rRNA from 1 species
CUACGGGAGGCUCCAGUCGAGAAUCUUCCACAAUGCGCGAAAGCGUGAUGGAGCGACGCCGCGUGCGGGAUGAAGGCCUUCGGGUCGUAAACCGCUUUUAACAGGGAUAAAUUUUGAUAGUACCUGUUGAAUAAGGGGUUGCUAACUCUGUGCCAGCAGCAGCGGUAAUACAGAGACCUCAAGCGUUGUCCGGAUUUAUUGGGCGUAAAGCGUCUGUAGGUGGUUUGUUACAUCUUUUGUUAAAUCUUGAAGCUCAACUUCAAGUCAGCUAAAGAUAUGGGUAAACUAGAGCAUACGAGGGGCCAAUGGAACUCAGGGUGUAGCAGUGAAAUGCGUUGAUAUCCUGGGGAACACCAAAAGCGAAGGCAUUUGGCUGGCGUAUUGCUGACACUGAGAGACGAAAGUGUGGGUAGCGAAUGGGAUUAGAUACCCGGGUAGUC